GUAUGGUUAUGCUGGGAGAAAAAUCAAAAGGCUGAUCAUCAUUCCUGGGCCAAACCAUCUGUCACAUUUGGCAUCAAGACUAUCCAGAAAACAUGAAGCCUGAACACGUGCUUUGCCUGUUGCUGAGCUGCUUUCCGCUACCCAAAGUUGCCUGUAAACCCUUGAAAGCAGACUGCACUCUUGUCAAAUGUAGCCCAUGCCCUGAGCAACACACAGCGGUGACUUCGGAGAAUAACUGCUGUGCUACAUGUGCCCCUCCAUGUUCCUGUCCAGAUUACCAGCAAUUUGAAUGCGCCAUGCAAGGCUAUGAGGAUGGAAACGUCCCCGUGGGGAAGUCUUUCCACAUAGACUUUGCCACUCAACUCUGCACCUGUGUUUCUACAGGGAAUAUCUCCUGCACUUCAGUUUGCCCCACGGUUUCACCUACGUGCAAGGAGACCGGAAGCCCUCCUGAUGGCUGUCCCCAGUGUGUAUGUCCCAUUGCCAAUGACAGAAUCGUAAUUGCUGGUAGCACCAUCCCCAGGGACAGUGAGAUUUGUGUAUGUCCCCCUGACGGAGGCAAACUAUUCUGCACCUCAACCACCCCUCAGUCCACUACAAUCUACCAAUGAAUAGACUCUGUUCUCCAAAUUAAGUACUAUAUGCAAGAAAUACCCAAUUUCACCAGGGACCAUCAGUAUAAUCUGCACACCUUUCACGAGUAAAAAACUCCAUAAAGCAGAAAGACAUUUGGAUCGAGACAAAAAUCUCCUCUCAUCUCCAAUGUGACGUUUUUAUUUUAAUACUAAUGUCACACAAAAUCUACUUUCAGCAGCAUUCAGGGUCUGCCAGAAACUAACUCAAACCAAUAUAUAGAGAAAGAAGGCUGGAAAGUAUUCUAAUAUCCUGUGUCUUGUGUGAAUAGCCCAGCUGAAGUCAAGGGAACAAUAGGCUUGAAUCAAAGUCCAUUUAAUUCAAUGGGAGAUUUUUUUAGUGAGUUCAGUAGGCUUUGGAUCAUGCUUCAUUUGCGUUAUUAAUCUUUUAAGAAGUAAAGUUGGGAUCUGGCCUAUUGUCCCAGCUCUAGAUUUUGCAGGGGUUUCCCAACAGUAGGCAAUUUAACAGCCGACAGGCCGGAUCCUGAAUGGCUUGCACACUUAAAACUCCCACUGACUUCAGUAGGAUUUUGAGUAUGCCAGGAAUGCAGUACUGAGCACUUGCAUUGUCCCGCAAUAUUCUUGGCAUUAUUAAAUGGGGGAUGGACCAGGCAUUUGGCAGAACUCUGAUUUUAUGACUUGUGUCAGUUCAAGUGAGAGGGUUAUUUUAACCUUUUAGUUUGCAUGUUUCCUUUUAUUAAGUGUCGUUUUUUUGUAAAAAUCUAACUUUAUAUUAAAAGGUGCAUUUAUAAAAACUGUUUACAAAAGGGUUAAUAAAGGCUUAUUAUAUACUUAAUAAGUGGUUAAUCAAUUGUUUUGGUAUCAAGAAAGAAAUAGAUUGCUUAGAGCCAUUUCUAUCACCUUCUAGUAAAGCCAUUCAUAAGUUUUUUGAGGGAAGGAUGAGGAUGUAUGUCCAUGAUCUGUGGUUGAAAGAUUUUUUUUCCAGAUUUUUUUUUUUAAUUUGUAGUCUUUAUCUGAUGUACACUGUUACCUGCCCUUCAUUAGGGAAGGCUGGUGGAGUUAAUUGAUUUGUAAUUAUGCUGUGCUGCUAGGUGGUUAUUAUAAGUUUAAUUAUUGUCAGGACAGCUUUAAAUCUGUGGUUUCAAUGUCACAUUAAAGACAUAAUAAAAUACUGAUGUGUCUAAGACCAACUGCUAUAACAUACUAUUUAUGUCUAUAACAUCUAUUAUAAUCAUUAACCCUUUAUUAACCAUUUAUAAAUGUAUUCCUAGUAUGAAGUGUAACCAACACAAUCUCUCUCUCUCAUGGACUCAUACCAGAGUUGCAGAAUAAUCAUAAAAUCUUCGCUGUCCUUGAAAAUAUUUUUAUGAACUUAUAAUUACAUAUCCGGCCAAGUAAUGACUUUGGAGAAAAUGCAACUGUAAUCACAUAAAAAGCUUAUCUGCUUUUUAAAGUGAGGAUUUCUGAUCUAAUAGAGCAUGAUAGUUCUAGAAAUCCAUUACAGUCUAUCUGCCUUUGAAAAGACAAAUUGGCACAUAGAACUUGUACUGCAUUGCACAGGAAAAAUCCUUCUGAAAAUGUUUUGAAAAAAGCAGGUUCUGUACAUGCCUGGAAGCCACUUUUUGGAAGUUCAAUGUCCAUGCCAUUUUAAUUAAUUUCAGAGCCACAAAUCCAUUACAGUCUAUCUGCCUUUGAAAAGACAAAUUGGCACAUAGGACUUGUACUGCAUUGCACAGGAAAAAUCCUUCUGAAAAUAUUUUGAAAAAAGCAGGUUCUGUACAUACCUGGAAGCCACUUUUUGGAAGUUCAAUGUCCAUGCCAUUUUAAUUAAUUUCAGAGCCACAAAAACAAAGAACACAUAUCAUAGACUAACUACCUGCUAAGUCUUUCAUUCCUCAAAACGGCUUUUGCACUGCAAAAUCACAGUCCCCCUCUCCCACCCAAAACAUUAAGAACUAGUAAACCAUUUUUUCUGCAUUUGGGUAAAUAAAACAAAACAGGCCAAAAAACUAUCCCAGACAAAAAUCUUGGGUAACUAGACUGAUAUGAUAUUUUCCAGCUACGUUACAGAUUCCUGAAAAUAUGACUGAUGUUGAACUAAAUAAUGCUAAUAUAAUAAAAGCAAUGUGAAUGCUUCAAGUUUAAAGACAAGGCAUGCUUUUUCCAUUCACAGAGAUUGUUCAUGUAAAAAUCCAUCAUCCAUGAAGCAUGUUCUGAUUUUUAUUUUUCUUUGCUUUGAUAGAUCAGUUGCUUCACAAUAUCCCUUUAAAGACAACUGUCCAAGAAAAGCUAAAUUUACAGUGUUCACAUUUUAAAGAUUGUCAGUUUUAUAGAACAAAUGUUGCUAAAACAGUGGAAGAUUGAGGGUUAUUUCUGUCACUAUCUGAAAACAUGGGUAUCUAAUAACAUUAGGUAAAUAUUUUGACAGUAGACUACAAGGUUAGUACGUUUGUAAAAAGGCGUGCUCUCUCACACAGUCAAAAAAAAAAAAAAAGGUGUGAUUAUUCAGUAGAUCCUGCAGAACUACAGAGCAGAACAACAUUUAUAUUUCCAUGUUGCACAGGCAGCCAAAUGACAUGGUUAGGGUGAUCUUUUAACAGCAUACUUGUGCCAUCUUUUAUUCGAUUUCAUGUUGGAUAAUUAAGUAAAAUUAUUUUAUAAUGUGAAAAAUAAAAUACUUGAAAGACUUUAGCAAGCCUAGAAAAUCAUAUUGGCUUGGCAAAGCCAACCUAGCUAUUCAAUCUACAAUGAAACAACAACAAAGUUCAGUCGUCCUAAAUGUUUCCAGGAGUACUCUUCAGCAAUACAUUUAACAAUUCAGAAGUAAUACCUGCUUAGGUUUUACUUUGUUCAUUUGAAUACUACAGCUAAACUUGCAUUCUCAUUGAUUUUUCUUGGCUAGCUUUACUUUUGGGGGGAGAUGAUUACAAUCUGAAUGCAUUAUAUUUACUAUGGCAGAGGCGGAAACUGUUUAGAAAUAGAAAUAUGUUUCACUAGUGUUAACAUCUUAGAUUUUCACAAGGGAAUGAAGGUUAUUUAUAUUUCCAACAUGCUUUCUGAAUUAUAUUUUGCCUAGUCAACUUUAAACCCAGCUGAAUUUUUGGUGAAUGUUUUGUCUCAAUGAUUAUCAAAAAUAAAAAGACCAAAAAUACAACAAUAGUGUACCUAUAAAUCCCACAGUUAUGGCUGGAGGGGUGAUUUAAUCUUGCAUAGACUGAAUAAUUAUUCAUUAAUUGCUCCCAAGCAGGUUUGGUAU